GGGGUUGUGGCUCAGUGGAAGAGCGCUUGCCUAGCACGCAUGAGGCACUGGGUUUGAUCCACAGUACCA
rnacentral:tRNA from 1 species